CUCAAAUUUAACAUAUAUAUAUGUGUUUUUUUGGUUUUCUGAUUCUGUUUUAAGAUACCCUUUUGAAUUUCCAUUGAGAAAGUUGGAAUCUUUUUUGUAUUUUUUGUGUAUUUGGGGAAGAUGGGUACUGAGAGUAAUUACCAGAUGAAGGUGGUGAAAGGAGAUCAUGGUUAUGUUCUUGAAGAUGUUCCUCAUUUGACUGAUUAUAUCCCUGAUCUUCCUACUCAUGACAAUCCAUUGCGGUCCAAUCCUGCAUAUUCAGUUGUGAAGCAGUACUUUGUUGACAUGGAUGAUACUGUCCCGCAAAAGGUUGUUGUUCACAAGGACAGUCCCAGAGGGGUGCAUUUCCGACGUGCUGGUCCACGUCAGAAGGUGUAUUUCAAUUCGGAUGAUGUUCGUGCUUGUAUUGUAACUUGUGGUGGUUUGUGCCCUGGGCUAAACACAGUGAUCAGAGAGAUUGUACAUAGCCUUGAUUAUAUGUAUGGGGUCAGCAAAGUCUUUGGGAUCGAUGGAGGCUACAGGGGUUUCUAUUCCAAGAAUAUCAUCAAUUUGACACCAAAGACUGUUAAUGACAUUCAUAAACGUGGUGGUACAAUUCUUGGAUCAUCACGAGGAGGCCAUGAUACCACAAAGAUUGUUGACAGCAUACAGGACCGUGGAAUUAAUCAGGUUUAUAUAAUUGGUGGUGAUGGAACUCAGAAAGGAGCAGCUGUAAUAUACGAGGAAAUCAGGCGGCGUGAUCUCAAAGUAAUUGUUGCUGGAAUCCCAAAGACAAUUGAUAAUGAUAUCCCUGUUAUCGACAAGUCAUUUGGUUUUGAUACUGCUGUAGAGGAGGCUCAACGUGCCAUAAAUGCAGCUCAUGUUGAAGCUGAAAGUGCUGAAAAUGGUAUUGGUGUGGUGAAGCUAAUGGGACGCUAUAGUGGAUUCAUCGCAAUGUAUGCCACUUUGGCGAGCAGAGAUGUUGAUCUCUGUCUAAUUCCAGAGUCUCCAUUUUAUCUUGAAGGAGAUGGCGGACUCUUCGAAUACAUU
rnacentral:misc_RNA from 1 species